rnacentral:rRNA from 1 species
UACGGAGGGUGCAAGCGUUGUUCGGAAUUACUGGGCGUAAAGCGCGUGUAGGCGGCUUUCUAAGUCUGAUGUGAAAGCCCGGGGCUUACCCCCGGAAGUGCAUUGGAAACUGGGAGGCUUGAGUACCGGAGAGGAGGGUGGAAUUCCUGGUGUAGCGGUGAAAUGCGUAGAUAUCAGGAGGAACACCGGUGGCGAAGGCGGCCCACUGGCUCGACACUGACGCUGAGGUGCGAAAGCGUGGGGAGCAAACAGG